UACGGAAGGGGACUAGCGUUGUUCGGAAUACUGGGCGUAAAGCGUGCGCAGGCGGUUAUGUAAGACAGUUGUGAAAUCCCCGGGCUCAACCUGGGAACUGCAUCUGUGACUGCAUAGCUAGAGUACGGUAGAGGGGGAUGGAAUUCCGCGUGUAGCAGUGAAAUGCGUAGAUAUGCGGAGGAACACCGAUGGCGAAGGCAAUCCCCUGGACCUGUACUGACGCUCAUGCACGAAAGCGUGGGGGAGCAAACAGG
rnacentral:rRNA from 1 species